AGUUUUUUAUUAUUACUAUUAUUAUUAUUAUUAUUAUUAUUAUCAUGACAAGGACCUACACCACUAAUACUUGUCUUUCUCUGGUGGUGGUGGGAGUGCUGGAAAGGGGGAUUCUCCUUCCUAAUCUCCCACCACCACUUUUGUCAGGGGCCACUGCGGUCACCCACAAACAUCUGAGGAGGAGCCGCCACCAUUGUCACCACCUGGACCAAGGACCCUGUGCUGCGGUCACCCACACACAUCUGAGGAGGAGGCGCCACCAUUGUCACCACCUGGACCAAGGACCUGUGCUGCGGUCACCCACACACAUCUGAGGAGGAGGCGCCACCAUUGUCACCACCUGGACCAAGGACCUGUGCUGCGGUCACCCACACACAUCUGAGGAGGAGGCGCCACCAAGCUCAAGAUGUGUAGUCAUCCACACCUGAGAAGGGGCCCAGCACCUCCUAGGAUCUGCUCUCCACAACUAUCUUCACACCACUUCAUUGUUUUAACAAGCUUAAUAAAUGAUAAAAUAUGACUGCCCAUA